GAUGAACGCUGGCGGCGUGCCUAAUACAUGCGAGUCGAGCGAACAGACGAUGAGAUUGCGCCUUUGACGUUAGCGGGUGACGGGCGGGUAACACGUGGAUAACCUACCUAUAAUACUGGGAUAACAUCGGAAGACCGGAGAUAAUACCAGAUAAUAUAUUGAACAGCAGGGAUCAGUAGUUAAACACGGUUUUGCUGUCACUAAUAGAUGGAUCCGCGCCGGAUUAGCUAGUUGGUAAGGUAACAGCUUGCCAAGGCAACGAUGCGUAGCCGAACUGAUAGGGUGAUCGGCCACACUGGAACUGAGACACGGUCCAGACUCCUACGGGAGGCAGCAGUAGGGAAUCUUCCGCAAUGGGCGAAAGCUUGACGCAGCAAUGCCGCGUGAGUGAUGAAGGUCUUCGGAUCGUAAAACCCUGUUAUUAGGGAAGAACAACUGUGUAAUUAACUACGGCCGUCUUGACGGUACCUAAUCAAAAAGCCCCGGCUAACUACGUG
rnacentral:rRNA from 1 species